UACGUAGGGGGCAAGCGUUGUCCGGAUUCAUUGGGCGUAAAGAGCUCGUAGGCGGUUCGGUAAGUCGGGUGUGAAAUCUCGGGGCUUAACUCCGAAACUGCAUUCGAUACUGCCGUGCUUGAGGACUGGAGAGGAGACUGGAAUUCAUGGUGUAGCAGUGAAAUGCGUAGAGAUCAUGAGGAAGACCAGUGGCGAAGGCGGGUCUCUGGACAGUUCCUGACACUGAGGCACGAAGGCCAGGGGAGCAAACGGG
rnacentral:rRNA from 1 species